AGCGGCAGACGGGUGAGUAACGCGUGGGAAAAUACCUUUAGGUUCGGAACAACCCAGGGAAACUUGGGCUAAUACCGGAUAAGCCCUUACGGGGAAAGAUUUAUCGCCGAAAGAUUGGCCCGCGUCUGAUUUGCUAGUUGGUGAGGUAACGGCUCACCAAGGCGACGAUCAGUAGCUGGUCUGAGAGGAUGAUCAGCCACAUUGGGACUGAGACACGGCCCAAACUCCUACGGGAGGCAGCAGUGGGGAAUAUUGGACAAUGGGCGCAAGCCUGAUCCAGCCAUGCCGCGUGAGUGAUGAAGGCCCUAGGGUUGUAAAGCUCUUUUGUGCGGGAAGAUAAUGACGGUACCGCAAGAAUAAGCCCCGGCUAACUUCGUGCCAGCAGCCGCGGUAAUACGAAGGGGGCUAGCGUUGCUCGGAAUCACUGGGCGUAAAGGGUGCGUAGGCGGGUCUUUAAGUCAGGGGUGAAAUCCUGGAGCUCAACUCCAGAACUGCCUUUGA
rnacentral:rRNA from 1 species